UCUUCAAAUUCUGGGAUGUCUUUAAAGAAGUCCACGAAGAUGCUGUCAUCCCAAACUAAAGAAUCAAGAUCUGGAAUAGUUCCUGGAAUCACAAGUCCUGAAAUACAGGGAAAUGGAUUGUCUAAUGAGGUAGAUCUACUCCAGAAGGUGGUCGAGAUUAGUUGGUACCCUCGAGAGGGAGUUCAGCCAGGAACAUUCUAUGCUUUGCCCCAAAGUCCUCACCUUUUUUAGCAGACGCUGAUGGUCUCUGGUUUUGACAAAUAUUAUCAAAUUGCAAGUUUUCUUUAUGCAGAUGCUUUAGAGAUCAAGAUCUAAGGGCUGACACACAACCUGAAUUAACUUGGCUUGAUAUGAACUUGCAUUCACUCCCUUGGAAAUGAAGAUUUGGUUAGAAAGGGGCAACCUGGGCAGGGGUUGAAUGCUCCGAGUGCAAAAAGCGUAUCAACAUGUGCAUAAAGACAGUAAUGUUUGAAAGAGCAGACACUGACAAUGCAAUACCCUUCCAUGAUGACGAAAGUGACGAACACUGGAGGAACUUCAAAGUCCCAAAGAUAAGCAAGCAUGACCAUAAGGUAACAACCUGGUCCCAAGCAUUUAGAUGAUAAAUAAUAAAAGAACUGCAACCUCUGAACAUAAAAAAGGAGGAAAAUAAAUGGAUGUAAGCUGCAUAUUGAUUGGUUCACUAAAACUAGUGUCUCACCAUGAGACUUCUUGGGUCUGGUCGGCCAAGAUCCUGCAGUUCUUGCUUGUUGUGGAAAAGAAGAAUUAAGCUUAAUUUGAAGUGCGAUCGCAGUGGUACUGAAUCGGAAACCAUUUGUCAUGUGCUUAGAGAUUGCCAGCUAACAAAGGAAGUGUGGUUUGCAUACAGCUUGGGCUUAGAUGUGCGUCCUUCUACUGGUUUGGCCUUUAAUUGAUGGUUUUGAUAUAGUAGCGAAGAAAUUAGAUGAUGAGUCGUUGGGUCUCUUUUGUAUUGUGUUAUGGGCGCUGUGGUAUGCUCGUAAUAUGUACAUCUAUGAACAGAGAGUGGUAAGCUGUGGUAAUGUUCUUGCUCUUGCUUAUAGAGCUUGUGCAGAGUUUGGAGGUGCUAAUAGUUCUCAGGAUGUUCAGGAUAGGGAAUCUGGCAAUAUUAAGCCUCGUUGGAAGCGCCUGUGGAGGGAAGAAUAAAAAUGAAUAUGGAUGCGGGCAAAAAUAAGGAUGGUAAAUGGAGUAUGGGGAUGGUGAUUCGCGAUGCAAACCGUCUUGUUCUGGUCGCUGCAAAUAAGGUUGGAGGAGGACCCAAAUGAGUCCACCGAACUUGUUCUGUUGGAUGCUGGUUUUCGUUCUUAAUCAAGUCUUCUAUUCCAUAAAAAAAAAUUAAUACAUUUAAAUUAAGUUUUUAA